ACAUAUGUCCAUUCCGUAAUAACUUAUUUGGAACCCAACAGCGACAAAAAAAUGUUAACUGCUCAACUGUCAAAAACCGUAUGCAUUGUGGGUUGCUGAUCCGUUUUGCGUGCGUUUUGUAUUUUAGUACAAAACGUAUCAAACGGAUUACAAAACGCAAACUCAAACGCAAACGCAACGUAUCCAUUGUGCUCCGGCCUAUAUAAUAAUCAAGAUGUUGGGGUCAGAACAAAUUAGUACUCAUUUUAUGGUUCCAAGUACUAAAGUUUCGGUACCCAGUAAAACAAAGCAACGCUUCAACGUAAAUUUGGACUGUUCUAAUUUUCUACUGUUGCCAAGGUUAUCAACCUGGCUGUUUAUUUAUUAUUUUCUGUAGUUUGUGCCGGCCAGACGACACUUGAACAAUUUUAAAAUUAAUUAAAAUGCUUUUAAAAGAUGCUUGUGCUGACGAAAAACUAAAACAGAUAAAUCCAUUUCCGGUUUGCGUAUUUGAAAAAUAUCUAUAUUGCUCUCGAAGUUUUCCGUUCUUGGAAUGAUGCGAAAACCCGGACGGACCCGGAGAAAAAAAAUAUGAAAGCAGAUAAAUUCUCGAUACGAAAACAAUUGUCUUCUAUAAAUCGAAUCUACAAGAAAUAACUUGACCACAGUACAGGCAGUACAACGUUUCUUGGCGAUUUUAGCUGGGUGCUUCGAGUGAAACGAAAUUCAGCUAAUAGCUCGGACUUUGAAACCUCGUUGGAAUUAACAAACAUUGCUUUCGGAACUUCGUCCCUGAUCCACCAAGUUGUACUCAACGGUGCAGUCCCAUUGCUUUACGUCCGAGCUCACGUCUGCUAGAUUCCCUGCUGGCAAAUAUGCGAACGGGUGGUAUGAGGCUUAAGCAACAUUUUCGGCAAAGGGCAUGGAGUCGUUUCACCACUAUUAUAAUUCAUAGAGCCGAUAUUUUCAAUAUAUACUGUUCUUAUGUA